AUUAAAACAGUUAUAAUUUAUUUGAUGAUUUUUUUAAAUGGAUAACCAUUGGAAACUAUGGCUAAUACAUGCAUAAAAGCCUACCGGCUGUAUUUACAAGCCAAUAUUCCUCGUGUCUAUUGUGACGACUCAUAAUAACUGAUCGAAUCGCAUGGGCCUUGCCCGCGAUAAAUCAUUCAAGUUUCUGCCCCAUCAGCUUUCGAUGGUAGUGUAUUGGACUACCAUGGCUUUCACGGGUAACGGAGGAUUAGGGUUCGAUUCCGGAGAGGGAGCCUGAGAAACGGCUACCACAUCUACGGAAGGCAGCAGGCGCGUAAAUUACCCAAUCCUGAUUCAGGGAGGUAGUGACAAGAAAUAACGGACCGAGACCUCGUGUUUCGGGAUUGCAAUGGGUACAAUUUAAACCCCUUAACGAGGAUCAAUUGGAGGGCAAGUCUGGUGCCAGCAGCCGCGGUAAUUCCAGCUCCAAUAGCGUAUAUUAAAGUUGUUGCAGUUAAAAAGCUCGUAGUUGGACUUCUGGGAGGGUGCCAAUGUCCGCUGUUGCGUGUGCAGCGGCGCCCUUCCAUCCUUCUGUUAAACAGACUUUUACUGUGAACAAAAUAAAGUGCUCAAAGCAGGCAAUAGCUUGAAUAAUCUAGCAUGGAAUAAUAUAAUAUGACUUUAUUCAUUUUAUUGGUCAUUGGAUGAAGUAAUGAUUAACAGGAACAGUUGGGGGCAUUCGUAUUUAAUAGUCAGAGGUGAAAUUCAUAGAUUUAUUAAAGACGAACUAAUGCGAAAGCAUUUGCCAAGGAUGUUUUCAUUAAUCAAGAACGAAAGUUAGGGUAUCGAAGACGAUCAGAUACCGUCGUAGUCCUAACCAUAAACUAUACCGACUAGGGAUUGGUAGGGUAUAACUCUAUCAGCACCUAAUGAGAAAUCAAAGUCUUUGGGUUCUUGGGGGAGUAUGGUCGCAAGGCUGAAACUUAAAGGAAUAGACGGAAGCGCACUACCAGGAGUGGAGUCUGCGGCUUAAUUUGAUUCAACACGGGGAAACUUACCAGGGCAAAAAACUGAUAGGAUUGACAGUUUGAUAGCGCUUUCUUGAUCCGGUAGCAAGUGGUGCAUGGCCGUUCUUAGUUGGUGGAGUGAUUUGUCAGGUUAAUUCCCUUAACGAACGAGACCUUAACCUGCUAAAUAGGAGCAGUUAAAACCUAGCUGUAUCCUUCUUAGAGGGACUACUGUAAAAAAAGACAGUGGAAGUUUGAGGCAAUAACAGGUCCGUGAUGCCCUUAGAUGUUCUGGGCCGCACGCGUACUACACUGAUGCAUGCAAUAAGUUCACCUAACUCGAAGGAGGCUGGGUAAUCUUUAUAAUGUGCAUCGUGCUUGGGAUAGACCUUUGUAAUUAUAGGUCUUGAACGAGGAAUUCCUAGUAAGCAUGGGUCAUCAACCCAUGCUGAUUACGUCCCUGCCCUUUGUACACACCGCCCGUCGCUCCUACCGAUUCGAG
rnacentral:rRNA from 1 species